AAAAGGUCUAUUUUCAAUUUAGUUUUAGUAAGAAAAAUGCAAAGGAAAUCAUAGAUUACAAGCAAUAAUGGGGGCCAAUCGUUGAGAUGCUGUAUAUUUAAACAUGAUACAUUUGUGGCCAAAUACUUUCGAACAAAGGGUCUACAUAUGAGGCGUAAGGCCUGUCCUCGAAGGCCUCCGUAAUAAUCGAUAUGAAUUAUAGCCAUUAUCACUGCAUAGAGUCUCAUUAGCAGCUUGUGCUCCCUCUGUGACAGCUUUCACACACUUUGCCAUCGUCUGGGAGGCUCUGCUUAUCGGAUCUGUGGAAGGGGGCGUGGCCUGGGGAACAAAGGAGGAGGGAAUUGUUUGUGGAAGUGGUACCUCAAGCAACAGAUAGCAGCAGUGAAUCCAGUGAGCCUGAGGACCAUAGGGAUUGAUCAGCUAACCCAGCCAGAGCCGGACUAUUUUUGCCAUCCUUCACUGCAGGCUUUUUUUUCAGAUUUACCUCAGAAAUGGCUCUGAUGAUCUUCCAGUCCUCCCUUGCCAUCCCCGGGGCAGUUACAGCCACUUUGGUCUGCUGGGCACGGCCCUCGGUGUUCACAUAGGUGCUACAUUUCUCAGUAUAUGCAGCUCCAGGAAGCAAGAUGUCAGCCAUUGGUGCCCCGACAUCGCCAUGGUGACCUGGGCAGUUAUGGCAGAAAACAUUUCAUUGGAUGUCCCUUUAAUUAAAAGGGACCAUAUGGGUUCCAUAAGUCAAGAUGUUCAUUUUUUACCAUUCCAUACAUACAAAAGAAUUAGUCAGGGAAUCCGCUGCCUUUCUCAGAUGAUAAAUGAAUGCAAAUGAAAGAGCUUAUGCUGCUGCACAGUAAAACUGCUGACCUUGAUAAAUUAUGAAGCUAUCCCUUGGGAGGUCUUGGCGAGUAAUGCAGCCUGCAUCGGCUCCUAGUAGGAACAGGACUUUGGGAGGGUUCUUUCUGAUAGCCUCCACUCCUGGCUUGUAACCAAGAUCAAGUGCAGCCACUUGACUGGCAACUCUGUGGGAAAGGGAAAAACGUCCAUAUGUUACAGUAAAUAUCCACUCCCCUGUUACUGAAAGAUUUCCCUCUAAUUUUCCAAGACCCUGACCUGUGAAGCACAUUGAGAACCUUCCAGGUUUUCUCUGCACCACUGCUGACGCGUGCGUUCUGAGCGAUGGUUGACACAGCAGCCAUUAUCGCAGCUCCAUCCUCUUUCUGCAGGCAACUGCUUCCAACCACAACAACAGGAUGCGUUGCCUCAGCCAAGACCUACAAGAGGUGAUAAGAGACAUUCAAGUUGACGUGACAAAUUGUUUUUGUUGGAUUUAUGUUCUAUAUAUAUUCAUGUUGCAUUGUUGGAAGAGCCUGGGACUUUUUGUUUUGCCAAAUCUACACUGUAGCUACUGUGCACCUGACAAUAAAGCCUUUGAAACUUAGUGUUACCUUGGAAAACGGAUGAGUUCCUGACACAAUUUCCUGCAGAACCUUUGCAGACUCCCCAAGAUGGUCAUAGCUGUAAUUGAGGUCCACUUCCUUUCCCAAAAGAGCCACUUGCAACUCAUUGUGAAGCCAGCUGAAUCAGAGAUACCAACAUAGCUCUCAACAAAAUGCUUAUUUGUCUAGCAUAGCUCAGAUUCAAUGUUCUGACGUUGCUCAAUAACCAGAUAUAAAAUAUUUUCAUUAUUUAACAUACCUUUUCCUGAUCCGUGCAUUGAACAGUGGAGCCUCAUAGCGUGGGUUUGUGCCAACCAGAAGCAGCAAGUCAGCUUCUUCAAUGCCAGCAAUCCCAGUGUUCAGAAGAUAGUUUGAACGCAGGUCAGAUCUGAGGAACCCAGGUUAAAACUUUAUAGUUUAAGCCCUUUUCGAUUGGGAACUAAAGCAGUUAUCAUUGCUCUUGCCAAAGCCACAACACGCCAUCGAUGAGUCAUUGAUUAGUCUACCGCUGUCUAGAUCAGUCUGUUUGUGUCAGUGUGGUUUUAGUUAGUUUGUAAUGACCAAAGUUGUAAAUGGAUUUCAGUUUCUGCCGGAAAGGGAAUUCUGACAGCAAUGUGAAGUAGGGAACAUAAUUUAAAUAUUGUGUACACUUAAAAAGUUUUGUCUUUGUUUGACAUUUUCUAACUAGCUAAAAUGUAUUUUGCUGCUGCCUUAAUAAAACAUGAAUACUUUGUUUA